UUAAGUUAAUAAGGGCGCACGGUGGAUGCCUUGGCACUAGGAGCCGACGAAGGACGUGACAAACGACGAUAUGCCUUGGGUAGCUGUAAGUAAGCGAUGAUCCAGGGAUUUCCGAAUGGGGGAACCCAACAGGUAGUACCUGUUACCCACAUCUGUUAAGGAUGUGAGGAGGAAGACGCAGUGAACUGAAACAUCUAAGUAGCUGCAGGAAGAGAAAGCAAAAGCGAUUGCCUUAGUAGCGGCGAGCGAAACGGCAGGAGGGCAAACCGAAGAGUUUACUCUUCGGGGUUGUAGGACUGCAAUGUGGACUCAAAGAUUAUAGAAGAAUGAUUUGGGAAGAUCAGCCAAAGAGAGUAAUAGCCUCGUAUUUAAAAUAGUCUUUGUACUAGCAGUAUCCUGAGUACGGCGGGACACGUGAAAUCCCGUCGGAAUCUGGGAGGACCAUCUCCCAACCCUAAAUACUCCCUAGUGACCGAUAGUGAACCAGUACCGUGAGGGAAAGGUGAAAAGCACCCCGGGAGGGGAGUGAAAUAGAACCUGAAACCGUGUGCCUACAACAAGUUCGAGCCCGUUAAUGGGUGAGAGCGUGCCUUUUGUAGAAUGAACCGGCGAGUUACGUUAUGAUGCGAGGUUAAGUUGAAGAGACGGAGCCGUAGGGAAACCGAGUCUGAAUAGGGCGCCUUAGUAUCAUGACGUAGACCCGAAACCAUGUGACCUACCCAUGAGCAGGUUGAAGGUGCGGUAAGACGCACUGGAGGACCGAACCAGGGCACGUUGAAAAGUGCUUGGAUGACUUGUGGGUAGCGGAGAAAUUCCAAACGAACUUGGAGAUAGCUGGUUCUCUCCGAAAUAGCUUUAGGGCUAGCGUCGACAUUAGAGAUUCUUGGAGGUAGAGCACUGUUUGGGUGAGGGGUCCAUCCCGGAUUACCAAUCUCAGAUAAACUCCGAAUGCCAAUGAAUUAUGGUCGGCAGUCAGACUGCGAGUGCUAAGAUCCGUAGUCGAAAGGGAAACAGCCCAGACCACCAGCUAAGGUCCCAAAAUAAUUGUUAAGUGGAAAAGGAUGUGGGGUUGCACAGACAACUAGGAUGUUAGCUUAGAAGCAGCUAUUCAUUCAAAGAGUGCGUAAUAGCUCACUAGUCGAGUGACCCUGCGCCGAAAAUGUACCGGGGCUAAAACAAUUUACCGAAGCUGUGGAUACCUUUAUAGGUAUGGUAGGAGAGCGUUCUAUGUGUGAUGAAGGUAUACCGUGAGGAGUGCUGGAACGCAUAGAAGUGAGAAUGCCGGUAUUAACAUUGAGCUGUGAUGGGGAGCGAAGUUUAGUAGCGAAGUUAGUGACGUCACACUGCCAAGAAAAGCUUCUAGCGUUUAAACAUACUCUACCCGUACCGCAAACCGACACAGGUAGUCGAGGCGAGUAGCCUCAGGUGAGCGAGAGAACUCUCGUUAAGGAACUCGGCAAAAUGACCCCGUAACUUCGGGAGAAGGGGUGCUGACUUUAAGUCAGCCGCAGUGAAUAGGCCCAAGCAACUGUUUAUCAAAAACACAGCUCUCUGCUAAAUCGUAAGAUGAUGUAUAGGGGGUGACGCCUGCCCGGUGCUGGAAGGUUAAGAGGAGUGCUUAGCGUAAGCGAAGGUAUGAAUUGAAGCCCCAGUAAACGGCGGCCGUAACUAUAACGGUCCUAAGGUAGCGAAAUUCCUUGUCGGGUAAGUUCCGACCCGCACGAAAGGCGUAAUGAUUUGGGCACUGUCUCAACGAGAGACUCGGUGAAAUUUUAGUACCUGUGAAGAUGCAGGUUACCCGCGACAGGACGGAAAGACCCCAUGGAGCUUUACUGCAGUUUGAUAUUGAGUGUCUGUACCACAUGUACAGGAUAGGUAGGAGUCUAAGAGAUCGGGACGCCAGUUUCGAAGGAGACGCUGUUGGGAUACUACCCUUGUGUUAUGGCCACUCUAACCCAGAUAGGUGAUCCCUAUCGGAGACAGUGUCUGACGGGCAGUUUGACUGGGGCGGUCGCCUCCUAAAAGGUAACGGAGGCGCCCAAAGGUUCCCUCAGAAUGGUUGGAAAUCAUUCGCAGAGUGUAAAGGUAUAAGGGAGCUUGACUGCGAGAGCUACAACUCGAGCAGGGACGAAAGUCGGGCUUAGUGAUCCGGUGGUUCCGUAUGGAAGGGCCAUCGCUCAACGGAUAAAAGCUACCCUGGGGAUAACAGGCUUAUCUCCCCCAAGAGUUCACAUCGACGGGGAGGUUUGGCACCUCGAUGUCGGCUCGUCGCAUCCUGGGGCUGUAGUCGGUCCCAAGGGUUGGGCUGUUCGCCCAUUAAAGCGGCACGCGAGCUGGGUUCAGAACGUCGUGAGACAGUUCGGUCCCUAUCCGUCGCGGGCGUAGGAAAUUUGAGAGGAUCUGCUCCUAGUACGAGAGGACCAGAGUGGACUUACCGCUGGUGUACCAGUUGUCUUGCCAAAGGCAUCGCUGGGUAGCUAUGUAGGGAAGGGAUAAACGCUGAAAGCAUCUAAGUGUGAAACCCACCUCAAGAUGAGAUUUCCCAUGAUUAUAUAUCAGUAAGAGCCCUGAGAGAUGAUCAGGUAGAUAGGUUAGAAGUGGAAGUGUGGCGACACAUGUAGCGGACUAAUACUAAUAGCUCGAGGACUUAUCCAA
rnacentral:rRNA from 1 species